UAAAAAUAUUAAUAUAAUUGGCCAAUUUCUUAGGCAUAUGAUGUAGCGAAUUCCCAUGAAGAUUUAAAUUUAAUUUAACUUAAUUUCAACCAAUGGGAUAGCAACCACCACCGGAAGAUCGCGGAGAAAUCGGUAAACUCAACGGAGUUAAUUCAGAAAAAUACCAAAAAAAAUUGUGUCAUUGUGGUGUCUGCACUCCACAAGAGAAGGGGAGGGAAUCCUUGUGCUGCUCAGACUAUUCACCAGUCCAGGCCAAGAAGGAUGAGCUGAAAGUAGAGUGCAUCACGCAACACCCAGGUUUUUCCAGCACCUGUCUUGAUAGAUGGGUGCUGGAAAUGUCGAUGUAUCACUACAUCGAAGAGCAGGGACAAAUAGGCGAUGACCAGCCCAUUCACAAGUUAUAUCGAUACGUGGCCUAUAGGAACCUUGUCCGUUGGGUUUGGAAGAGGUUGGGGAGAAGGAACCGUUUGCCGCUCCCUGUUUGUGCUCGGGACAAGAUACGUGCUGCUUGGCCUGCUCCGGACAAUGACGGG